rnacentral:rRNA from 1 species
GGAAUCUUCCACAAUGGGCGCAAGCCUGAUGGAGCAACACCGCGUGAGUGAAGAAGGGUUUCGGCUCGUAAAGCUCUGUUGUUAAAGAAGAACACGUAUGAGAGUAACUGUUCAUACGUUGACGGUAUUUAACCAGAAAGUCACGGCUAACUACUUGCCAG